AGAGUUUGAUCCUGGCUCAGAGUGAACGCUGGCGGCAGGCCUAACACAUGCAAGUCGAACGGCAGCACAGCAGUAGCAAUACUGUGGGUGGCGAGUGGCGGACGGGUGAGGAAUGCGUCGGAAUCUGCCUAUUUGUGGGGGAUAACGUAGGGAAACUUACGCUAAUACCGCAUACGACCUACGGGUGAAAGUGGGGGACCUUCGGGCCUCACGCAGAUAGAUGAGCCGACGCCGGAUUAGCUAGUUGGCGGGGUAAAGGCCCACCAAGGCGACGAUCCGUAGCUGGUCUGAGAGGAUGAUCAGCCACACUGGGACUGAGACACGGCCCAGACUCCUACGGGAGGCAGCAGUGGGGAAUAUUGGACAAUGGGCGCAAGCCUGAUCCAGCCAUGCCGCGUGUGUGAAGAAGGCCUUCGGGUUGUAAAGCACUUUUGUCCGGAAAGAAAUCCUUUCGAUUAAUACUCGGGAGGGAUGACGGUACCGG
rnacentral:rRNA from 1 species